rnacentral:rRNA from 1 species
UAGGGAAUCUUCCGCAAUGGACGCAAGUCUGACGGAGCAACGCCGCGUGAGUGAAGAAGGAUUUCGGAUCGUAAAACUCUGUUGUUAGAGAAGAACAGCGCAUAGAGUAACUGUUAUGCGUGUGACGGUAUCUAACCAGAAAGCCACGGCUAACUACGUGCCAGCAGCCGCGGUAAUACGUAGGUGGCAAGCGUUGUCCGGAUUUAUUGGGCGUAAAGCGAGCGCAGGCGGUCAAUUAAGUCUGAUGUGAAAGCCCCCGGCUCAACCGGGGAGGGUCAUUGGAAACUGGUUGACUUGAGUGCAGAAGAGGAGAGUGGAAUUCCAUGUGUAGCGGUGAAAUGCGUAGAUAUAUGGAGGAACACCAGUGGCGAAGGCGACUCUCUGGUCUGUAACUGACGCUGAGGCUCGAAAGCGUGGGUAGCAAACAGG